UACGGAGGGUGCGAGCGUUGUUCGGAAUCACUGGGCGUAAAGGGCGUGUAGGCGGUCCGCUAAGUCUGAUGUGAAAGCCCGGGGCUCACCCCCGGAAGUGCAUUGGAAACUGGCGGACUCGAGUCCCGGAGAGGAGAGUGGGAUUCCUGGUGUAGCGGUGAAAUGCGUAGAUAUCAGGAGGAACACCGGUGGCGAAGGCGGCUCUCUGGACGGUGACUGACGCUGAGACGCGAAAGCGUGGGGAGCAAACAGG
rnacentral:rRNA from 1 species